rnacentral:rRNA from 1 species
UACGUAGGGUGCAAGCGUUGUCCGGAAUUAUUGGGCGUAAAGAGCUCGUAGGCGGCUUGUCACGUCGGGUGUGAAAGCCCGGGGCUUAACCCCGGGUCUGCAUUCGGUACGGGCAUGCUGGAGUUCGGUAGGGGAGACUGGAAUUCCUGGUGUAGCGGUGAAAUGCGCAGAUAUCAGGAGGAACACCGGUGGCGAAGGCGGGUCUCUGGGCCGAUACUGACGCUGAGGAGCGAAAGCGUGGGGAGCAAACAGG